rnacentral:sRNA from 1 species
CUUUCGCCUUUCGCCAGGCUUGAGAGUUAAUGCUGUUUUAUCCUUCCUUGGAUGUCUGAAACUUUUGUAUCUAAACC